ACAGCCGUUGCACACGAGUCAGUCGAUCCUAAGCCCUAGGAGAAAUACCGAAUGUUGAUGUGGUGUUUUUACAAAAAUAUAUGUGUUAUGUUAAAAAGUAUUACACUCGUUGGGCGAAAGGGAAUCCGGUU
rnacentral:rRNA from 1 species